CCUACGGGGGGCUGCAGUGGGGAAUAUUGCACAAUGGGCGCAAGCCUGAUGCAGCCAUGCCGCGUGUGUGAAGAAGGCCUUCGGGUUGUAAAGCACUUUCAGCGGGGAGGAAGGCGUUAAGGUUAAUAACCUUGGCGAUUGACGUUACCCGCAGAAGAAGCCCCGGCUAACUCCGUGCCAGCAGCCGCGGUAAUACGGAGGGUGCAAGCGUUAAUCGGAAUUACUGGGCGUAAAGCGCACGCAGGCGGUCUGUCAAGUCGGAUGUGAAAUCCCCGGGCUCAACCUGGGAACUGCAUUCGAAACUGGCAGGCUAGAGUCUUGUAGAGGGGGGUAGAAUUCCAGGUGUAGCGGUGAAAUGCGUAGAGAUCUGGAGGAAUACCGGUGGCGAAGGCGGCCCCCUGGACAAAGACUGACGCUCAGGUGCGAAAGCGUGGGGAGCAAACAGGAUUAGAUACCCGUGUAGUC
rnacentral:rRNA from 1 species